rnacentral:siRNA from 1 species
GCCUCAGUAAGCCACAUUUCG